GGCAGGCAUGAAGGUAGUACAGGAGAACCCACAGACCACUAUGCAGAGCUGAUUCCUGUGAAAAAGAAAGAGAAAGAAGUUUUAGGUACCAAUGCAAUUCUAAGAGUUUUUGCAAGGCUGAUGAGGAAUCCUCCAACCAGUCACCCAUUAGCGUUAAAGAGAGCCUCAGAGAACUAGGCUUGCUUUCACACCCUUCCUGGGAGCCUGUAGGAAAGAAGCUUUCUGUGCAAAGGAGGUGGUGAAUUUGAAAUGCACUGACCUGGGCCUUCUGUCAAUCAGGUCCCUGCCAUGGAGAUCUGACAGAGUCUCAUUCAUGACUGCCACAACAGAGACACUGAGAAAAAGAUGCAACCAUGAAAAGGUGCAAAGGUGACAAGUUCCAAUGACAUAGAAAAUAGCAAUCAGCCUUUCUCACGUCUGAAAGCCUUCCAAAAUACCUGAGUGCAGUAGAGAAUUGACAGAGGACUGAUCACCAACUGAGAAACAUGGUGAGAGGGAAAAAAAACUGCAAGAAUAUAAUCAUCUCCCAUCAAUUUUCCAACAGAAAUAAUGUAGUCCUUGAAGAAACAAUUAUACAGUAUCUCAUGUUACAUGCUUGUUCCUGACGCUCCCCCAUGUAAAAUAACAUCACCUUCAUUCCUUCUUUUCUUUUCUUUCCAUGACAGCUCCUCCAGGAUUAGGAACUUUUGCUUUCAAUAAUCCAACGUAGCAGCCGUGAUGUCAUUUUUGUAUUUCAGGAAGACUGGCAGGAGAUUUAUGGAAAAGACUAUGAAAAGGACUCUUGAAUACAAGUUCCUGAUAACUUCAAGAUCAUACCACUGGACUAAGAACUUUCAAAAUUUUGAUGAACAGGCUGAUACCUUCAUGAAAUUCAAGACAAAGAAGAAAAGAACUCCAUUUCAUUGGACUAAAUAACAAAAGGAUAAUGUUUUCAUAAUUUUUUAUUGGAAAAUGUGCUGAUU
rnacentral:lncRNA from 1 species